rnacentral:ncRNA from 1 species
GAGGGAACCGACCCCUCGGUAUCGAUUUUCAGGAAUUGAUCUCAAACCACCUUAUGGUGCUUCGGUAAAGAGCCGUGGUACUGAGCGAUAAGGAAAAGGCAUUAAUAAAUGUCAGGU